CAGGUCUCCCGGUUCCCAACCCAGCGUCCUUUCCACUGGACCAACAGGAGGGCUAAUUCUUAAAGUGAAGAACAUAGUGCUGGUGAGAAGACAGAAUUUCCAACUUUAUUCCCGCAAAUCUCUGGGGACAUUUUCCCGGCUCUCAGUCCCUGGGCGAUUUCAAUUCUCCAGUGGAGAAGAUGGAUCUAAAAUGAUGGUGGAUAUUGGCUCUAAGGACUAGCUGGCCCACAGCCAACUUGUUCUGUACAGCCUGGACUGAAACCGCCUAUGG